rnacentral:rRNA from 1 species
GACAGAGGGUGCAAACGUUGCUCGGAAUUACUGGGCGUAAAGCGCGUGUAGGCGGACCCGCAAGUCGGACGUGAAAUCCCUGAGCUCAACUCAGGAACUGCAUCCGAAACUGCGGGUCUGGAGUGGUGGAGAGGGAAGCAGAAUUCCUGGUGUAGAGGUGAAAUUCGUAGAUAUCAGGAGGAACACCGGUGGCGAAGGCGGCUUCCUGGACACUUACUGACGCUGAGACGCGAAAGCGUGGGGAGCAAACAGG